CUGUCCUCCAUCACUGCUGUACUUAUCUCACCCCAUUGUCACCACAAAAGAGUAACCUCUAACAAACUCAGGCUUGUAACUUCCAGCAGGGACGGACCAUUAUUCCCAGUGUGUAAAUGAAGAAGUGAGGCAGCAACCGAGGCCUGAGCGCUGGGCUACUCUCAGCCAGCUUUCACCAGCUACAAUGUCCAUCCUCAGCUCACCACCAGCCAAAGGUUCAUCCUGAGCUCACCACCAGCAAGCCACGGUGGCAACCAGAAGCGCUGCCUCGCUGGGCUCCAGACUAUGGGAAAAUUCACUGCUGGAGCGUCGGAGACGAGCCUCACGUGGAUCCUCGUGGAGGAUCUCAGCUGGCAGCAGCUCAGGGCCUCUAUUGCAGCCUCUGGACCCACCAGCACUGUCUCCAGAGCCCGGCAUUUGCAGGAAACUCGGUAAAGCGAGGGCUCCGUGUUUCUGCAGAGGAGCUUUUCUCCAUGUAGAACCUUCCCAGGUCCAGCAGGCUCCAUCGCAAGGCGCUCAUAAUAGCUGCAGUGGGGAAGGCAGCGCAGACUUUUUUUCACAGCAAGAGAAGAUGGGGAAAGUUGGAAGAGGCCAAUUUUUUUUCCUGCUUUCUCAUGCACUGGAGGGUCCUUAUUCAUUUGAAUAGCAGGUCCUCUCACACAGCAAUCGUUUCUGUCACCAAACAGCAGAGAAGGACUCCUUACGCAGCAACCUCGCGCAGAGCACUGCUGCUCAGACCUUCCCAUCUGCUCUCUGAGCAUGGAAAACCAGAUGCAUGCCAACCUCAGAAGGGAGAGAAUUAGCCCUGAACAAAUAAGUAGAUUGCAGUAACGGGUACAAUGUGGAGGUUUCCUCAAGGAGACAGUAUUUGUAUUCUUCACAGCUGCAUCUUUUUCCUUUUCUCUUCUUUUUUGCCCCCUCUUAUUUAGCCUGAAGUGCUCCCAAACCCUUCAUGCCAUGUGGCUGCUUCUGAUUUGCAUCAAAGCCCCAAUCCAUCGCUGCUCUGUGCUGUGAUAGAUGACGUCGGCUCCCACAAAGCAGAUAUAAAGCGCUCAUUGGAGAGUAUGGCGAGCCUCUUCCCCAGCGGUACGGACAGUGAUGCGAUGCAAAGGUGAGGGUGCUCCAGCUCUGCCGUGUCUGCCGAGCGCUGCGGCUGGAAGAGGAACCCCCAGCGCAGAGCAGGGGCCCCUGAGCCUCCAGCAAGUAGGAAAAAAAUAAAAAGGGAAUGGAAACAAUAAUGAGGAAUGAGGUUAUUGUAGGGGAGAGCAAGGAAAAGAGGUUGUUCGGGGACAGUGAAGAAAAUGCCAGAUAGGAAAGAAAUGGUGCUCUGAGGAAAGACAAUGGAGAAAUAGAGUGAAACAAUUGAAACCCCAUGUCAAAUCCGAGCAGGGAGAUCGCUGAUCGAGCCAUAUUUCAUGAAGGUGCUGCGGUUUUGCUCACUUCCAGCACACGCAGCUCAGGGGACACAGACACCGCUCUUUGCAUACGCAGCUAAGUUGGAACUUCGGUGCUAAUGCGAUGCCAUGAGGGAGCCAGGUUUUACUCCGCAGAUAUGAGGGGACGGGUAGGAGAUAGAAAAUGAGGAGCAGCCAGAAGAAUGAGUGAAGCUGCAUCUCCUGACAGAAGGUGGGAAACCUGUACCACAUGCACAACAGGAGACAAAACCACGCAACAAAGAGAAAAGAAUCACAUUACACUGGGCAUGAAAGUAUUUUUGGGUUGCAUCAGGCCCUUAUUGCUGAUGGUUCACCUGCAGCUCAUCCAGAUAUGGCUUUUAGAGCAAGUUUAAAAAGAGGCCAACAUUUCAACAACUGAAAUCUCAGCCUUUUGUCUGAUGGAAAAAAUCAAUUCCAAAUGUGGAAAUUUCAAUGCAGACUAUAAUUUUGCAGUUCAAAUUUAUUCUCCUUGCUUGAUUUCUUUUUUGUCUUCCCCUCCCCUCUGUUUUUCAGAAGCUGGCUCUAAUGCUUCAUUCCCACUCUCCAAAGACCCUUGGCAGCUGAGUUCCAUGUAGCAGGAAACGAGCCCCUGCCCUGCCUUGCCCAGGGAGCAUACCCCCUCCUUCCAAAUCUCCUGUCUUUGGGAUAAAAAUACAGGAUCCUGAUUCUUCAGCAGCUUACAAAUUUUAUGUUUGUGUAAAGCAACAGUAAAACAUGUCAAUGAUGUUGUUUUAAACAUUUUCAGUUUGGUUUAUAAGAGCUACUGGUGGAUUCAUGUUGGCUUUCUCCUUUUCUUGCUAGAGCAAGGUCAAGCAUCCUCCAGUUCUAACAUGCUUAAGUUAUGGUUGUUUUGAGUAUUUCUGAGGACCCAGCUACUCGGAUUACUUUGAACUACGACUAUAUUCACGUCAGACGUGACUUAGCUCUACUGGCACAGCUACCAGGUCAGCUGAAGAAUUGCCUGUGUAUUUACCCUGGGAGCAAUGACUCCACUCCAGCUCCUCCAAGCCCGAGCCUUCCCACCACUGAAAUAUCCAACGCAUCUCCUGCGUGUUCUGAGGAUGCUGCAACACCAGCGAAUGAGGUGGGAUGGGCCCCCUUUGGCAAGGAGAAGCUGUUUGCAAGGAGCCCAUGAUUUCCUUCAGCUGGAUCACAGGCUCUCAGAAUGACCCGAGUUGGAACAGACCCAUGAGGAUGAUCAAGUCCAGCUCCUAUAUCUGCAUAGGACAACCCCGAAACCAUCUCAGUCCAGAGCAAAAGUGAACUCGGUCAGACCUGAUGGCUGUGCGAGGGACGGUGCGGCCGCAGCUCCGGGUCAGCACUCGUGGUGUUCACACCCUGUGCUACGUGAGCGAAAGAAGCACAAAACAGAUGCUCUGUGCAAAUUGCCCGGGCACUGAACUUCAUCCCUUGCCACUUCCAGCAGCCAUAAACACAAGGCCCGGAUCCACCCCCCAUCCGAUACCACUGCUGUUUGUGCCUCUAUCCUCUUCCUCUCUAGACCGAAAGCACAGCCUGGGUGAUCAUUUCCUCAAAUUCCAGCUUUUCCCAAGCUGGUGGCUCGAGAUGAGCACCGCCUGUCUCCACGGGGGAAACCUGGCCUCACCGCUGUCCUUGCACGGUCCCGACGGCUCUCCAGGAAUUCCAAAUAUCACUAAAACUCCCCUCAGACUUGUUCCACGCUGCUCUGUAAUUGCUGACACACCUAAUCAGGGCCUUCUUUCCAAGCAGUUUGGUCACUACACGCCAAAAAUUUCUCCGAUGCAUCUUUGCCAUCUGGAACAAACGCUCAUGUGCCUUCAGCCGUAGAGUUUCCAGUUUCUGCUGAAAAACAAUUUCCCCUUACUGUCACUCCAAACAAACCCAAAUGUUAGAUCCAGGCAGCAAAGAUUCGGUCAUUUAUUUUCCACGGUGUGGGAACAGAUUUUGUACUUGAAGCAAUUUUGGUUUUAAAGGAGCCCUGGAGCUUGUGGAAUGUGGGCAGUUUUUAGAUCUUUCAUCCUAAGGCUCACUAGGAACUCGCUGGGGCUCUGUAAGCUUUUCCAUCAGACAUCAUGUACUCUAGAAUUACCAGUGAAUGCUUUGCUAGGACAUAAGGUGUUUUUAGAAUGGAAAAUUAAAGGGGGGGGAAAUAUUUAAUGAAAUCCUUUAGGAAAAGGAUUUUUCCGAUUGCUAAAAUGCUGCAUUAUUGCCUACAAAGGAAUUCUUGUAAUAAUCAAAGCUGAGAGGUCUGAUAGCCUUCAGUGUGAAAAAUGCUCACCAUUCACCCCCCCAAGACCUCCUUUAUUCUGGAUAUUGGACACAGUGUGCUCCUGAUGGGGAAUCAGGCUGCCGUCUAUCACACAACACCGCUAGUCAUAACUUCUAAAGUUUAGCUGGCAAUGAAUAAAUGCAGACCCUGAGGAGUCAAAAUAGUCCUUGAAUUGCUGCCUUCAGCAGCAACGUUCAUUUAAUGCAAUCUAUUUCAAAUUUCCAAAUCGCAUCCUGAUGGGUCCCUUUCAGAGGAUCUCCCAAAAUUAAAUACAAAUAUUCCACUUCAGAAAUCAAGUCCCCGGGGCAUUAGAUACGCUUCGCUGCAGAUUAAUUAGAUCCCAUGGAGUUAUAAGAUUCCUGAGAUGGAGUGCUGAAGAUUCCAAGAAUUCUCACAAAGGUGAAAUGAUGGUGAAAACAAACUUGUGUUCCCAGAGCACAAGAAGGCAGAAAGCAGGUCAGGAUUCACCAAGUCCCACCUUGGGCUUAUUUUCUCCCUUUUCUGAAGUGGUCACAAGCCUUAAACCUGAGCUGGUAUUAAGGAAUUUUACUUCAGAUUCAUCAGUGAAAUGAGGAGCUAAGUAUUAGUGACAGAAGUAUGAGGUGACUUAAAACAGAGGAGCAGCUUAUUGUUCCUCUGAACCCUUUUUUGAAGGUUUCAACCUAUUUUACAGGUGUGAAGAACUAUUAAUUCCUCAUCAACCAACCUAAAACACGCAAUGCGCUGAUCCACGUUAUUUCACAGGGCAAAAGCAGAGCUACUGCGCGGCUGCACCAGCAUCAGGCCAGCAGCCACGCGCGUGCUGUAAAACCUGGGGAAGGGGUAGAAAGAAGGGGAAACGUCAGGGCAGAGACUACGACAGAGAUUUUGCCAGUUAUCCUGUGAAGGGGAAAAGGUUUCCCCUUCCUUCUCCACCUGGAAUUGGCAGUCCAUCCAGCUACCAAGUCUUACUUUUUGGGUCACAAAAGACCUUACAGUGAGCUGCUCAGACAAAGAACUUCUCGUACGUGUUCAAAAGCUUAAAUAAACAGGAGUAACAGCUGAGAUCGCACAAUGAAAAGGUAAUGGGCUCCUCAGAAAAGCCACCUUUCCGCACACCAGCACCGAAGGUACAUUUUCAGUGAUACUAAAGCAUAACGGUAGCACCAGCUUGUUUCCUCCCCAAAACAAAUGUAAAAUUCAAAACCAUUAGUGAAGCCUAGACAAUCAAACACAAAGAAAGAGAAGACAGGGAGAACACUUCAGCAAGUACCAAAUACACAGAGAUGCAAGCUGAGGAUGAUUUUAUCUGUUCCUUCGCUGUUUGCU